CUGAUGGACGGAUGGCAGGAUAGAUGGAGGGAUGGAUGGAUGGGCAAAUGGAUGAAUGACUGGAUGUGUCAGCAUAUGACAAGCAGGUCCAAAUCCCACUGUAACAUGGGAGGUCUAUGCCCUGGGACCCUGAGGACAGCAGGACUGCCUGUGCUGGUGGCCUUCACCUGGGCCUCCCUUAUACUCCUUGUAGCUUAUCAGCUACAUUCCCUGGGAGAGAAGAGAGGACCCUGGUCAUGCCCAUCCAGCAUUUGGCACACUGAAUCACAGACCCAGAUCUAUGGCCCGACUCAGAGCACCAUGGGUUACCGGGAGCCACCUCCCUGGGUGGUGCUGGACCCGCCACAGGAGGACCUGGAGGAGGACACCCCAGGAGCCAGCCUGUGGCCCACCACAGUCACCCUGCUCACUCUCUUCCUGCUGAGCCUCUUCUACAGCACGGCGCUGACCGUGACCAGCAUCCGGGCCCCACCUGGUGGCAAAGAGGGCCCCCAGUACUGAGAAGGAGCCAGCCAAGCAAAGGGAGGAGCCUGGAGGAGCCCCCUGGAAGCCAAGCUGGAUGCCAGAGCUCAGCCCUGCUUGGAAGCCACCCGACUCUCCCACACAGGCCUUCCUGGUGCAAUAAACUGAUCCCCAAGGAA